AGGUUGGAAGGGACCUCUGAGGAUCAUCCAGUCCACCCCCCUGCCAAGCAGGAUUGCCUAGAGCACAUUGCACAGGAUGGCAUCCAGGCGGGUUUUGAAUAUCUGCAGAGAAGGAGACUCCACAAUUUCUGUGGGCAACCUCUUCUAGUACCCUCACAGUAAAGAACAACCUUUCAGGAAACAAUCAAUAUUCUACAGACACAUCUGCAUGGCAGGUGUUUGAAGCGCAGAAGCUGCGUAGACAUCACCUCUUCACUGUGCAUGAAAAGAGUUUUUGGAGUAAUCCUCCUGUGAGGACUUCAAUGAGAGAAUUCUCACUGAAGAUACUGAAGAAUGAUCUGGAUGGAAGGGAUACUGCUGUCUGUCCUUCACCUAGCUGACCUUGCCUAGGAUCAUGCAGGCAAACCACUACUGCAGGAGAAGCAGAAUGGUGUCCUGCCUGUCCACAGCACCAGGAGCUAAGCCUGCGCUGAGCACACCAGGUCAGGGCUGAUGCAGUGAGUGCUUCCUCCUGUUCUCAUCAGGAGAAUUUGUCCAGCUCCUCUAAGGAUGAGAAAGGUUGCAGACAGGGUGUCUACAGGUUUUUUCCUUUUAACACUGUCUCCCACCUGGAAAUGAUAUCCUGUGUAAUGACUAUGGAAGGCAAAAGCUUCCCCUGAUCUUGCAGUUUUCGUAUUCCCUACUGCUACUGGUACCACAGCCUGAGUCACAGAAAAGAAAGGAAAAAAGAGGACGAUGGUUCUAAUGCCUCUGAUGUAUCGUACUCUCCCAUCAGAUGAGCCCCGCUAAAGAUGUGAAGGCAACAGCAAAGGAUGUUCAUUCUGCUCACCAGCAGGUGGUGAAAGGAAGAAGCAAGGAGUGAGGUCUAAUCCCAUCUUCUGCUCUGGCUGGCUUUCAUAAACAUGUUCGUUUUCUUACUGUGGUUCUCCUAGAGCAAUGUAAAUAAAUGUAAUUACUCCCACUUUAUGGAGAGGGACUUUAGCUCACCCAGAAUUAAAGGGAGGGAGGGAAAUUUGAGGAACUAGGGCUGGGGUUUCAGCCCUCUGUGAAGAAUUACUGUGAAUUUUUACAAGUAAAUUCCAGUUGAAAUCUAUGAGAAAAAAUAAAAAUAAAAAAAUAAUGGCAACCAUAUUAAAUAAAAACACUGUGUACUAGGAA